UGGGGAAUUUUGGACAAUGGGCGAAAGCCUGAUCCAGCAAUGCCGCGUGUGUGAAGAAGGCCUUCGGGUUGUAAAGCACUUUUGUCCGGAAAGAAAUCCUUGGCUCUAAUACAGUCGGGGGAUGACGGUACCGGAAGAAUAAGCACCGGCUAACUACGUGCCAGCAGCCGCGGUAAUACGUAGGGUGCAAGCGUUAAUCGGAAUUACUGGGCGUAAAGCGUGCGCAGGCGGUUUGCUAAGACCGAUGUGAAAUCCCCGGGCUCAACCUGGGAACCGCAUUGGUGACUGGCAGGCUAGAGUAUGGCAGAGGGGGGCUAGAAUUCCACGUGUAGCAGUGGAAUGCGUAGAGAUGUGGAGGGAAUACCGAUGGCGAAGGCAGCCCCCUGGGCCAAUACUGACGCUCAUGCACGAAA
rnacentral:rRNA from 1 species